rnacentral:rRNA from 1 species
GGCGUGUGACUGCGUACCUUUUGUAUAAUGGGUCAGCGACUUAUAUUCUGUAGCAAGGUUAACCGAAUAGGGGAGCCGAAGGGAAACCGAGUCUUAACUGGGCGUUAAGUUGCAGGGUAUAGACCCGAAACCCGGUGAUCUAGCCAUGGGCAGGUUGAAGGUUGGGUAACACUAACUGGAGGACCGAACCGACUAAUGUUGAAAAAUUAGCGGAUGACUUGUGGCUGGGGGUGAAAGGCCAAUCAAACCGGGAGAUAGCUGGUUCUCCCCGAAAGCUAUUUAGGUAGCGCCUCGUGAAUUCAUCUCCGGGGGUAGAGCACUGUUUCGGCAAGGGGGUCAUCCCGACUUACCAACCCGAUGCAAACUGCGAAUACCGGAGAAUGUUAUCACGGGAGACACACGGCGGGUGCUAACGUCCGUCGUGAAGAGGGAAACAACCCAGACCGCCAGCUAAGGUCCCAAAGUCAUGGUUAAGUGGGAAACGAUGUGGGAAGGCCCAGACAGCCAGGAUGUUGGCUUAGAAGCAGCCAUCAUUUAAAGAAAGCGUAAUAGCUCACUGGUCGAGUCGGCCUGCGCGGAAGAUGUAACGGGGCUAAACCAUGCACCGAAGCUGCGGCAGCGACGCUGAUGCGUUGUUGGGUAGGGGAGCGUUCUGUAAGCCUGCGAAGGUGUGCUGUGAGGCAUGCUGGAGGUAUCAGAAGUGCGAAUGCUGACAUAAGUAACGAUAAAGCGGGUGAAAAGCCCGCUCGCCGGAAGACCAAGGGUUCCUGUCCAACGUUAAUCGGGGCAGGGUGAGUCGACCCCUAAGGCGAGGCCGAAAGGCGUAGUCGAUGGGAAACAGGUUAAUAUUCCUGUACUUGGUGUUACUGCGAAGGGGGGACGGAGAAGGCUAUGUUGGCCGGGCGACGGUUGUCCCGGUUUAAGCGUGUAGGCUGGUUUUCCAGGCAAAUCCGGAAAAUCAAGGCUGAGGCGUGAUGACGAGGCACUACGGUGCUGAAGCAACAAAUGCCCUGCUUCCAGGAAAAGCCUCUAAGCAUCAGGUAACAUCAAAUCGUACCCCAAACCGACACAGGUGGUCAGGUAGAGAAUACCAAGGCGCUUGAGAGAACUCGGGUGAAGGAACUAGGCAAAAUGGUGCCGUAACUUCGGGAGAAGGCACGCUGAUAUGUAGGUGAGGUCCCUCGCGGAUGGAGCUGAAAUCAGUCGAAGAUACCAGCUGGCUGCAACUGUUUAUUAAAAACACAGCACUGUGCAAACACGAAAGUGGACGUAUACGGUGUGACGCCUGCCCGGUGCCGGAAGGUUAAUUGAUGGGGUCAGCGCAAGCGAAGCUCUUGAUCGAAGCCCCGGUAAACGGCGGCCGUAACUAUAACGGUCCUAAGGUAGCGAAAUUCCUUGUCGGGUAAGUUCCGACCUGCACGAAUGGCGUAAUGAUGGCCAGGCUGUCUCCACCCGAGACUCAGUGAAAUUGAACUCGCUGUGAAGAUGCAGUGUACCCGCGGCAAGACGGAAAGACCCCGUGAACCUUUACUAUAGCUUGACACUGAACAUUGAGCCUUGAUGUGUAGGAUAGGUGGGAGGCUUAGAAGUGUGGACGCCAGUCUGCAUGGAGCCGACCUUGAAAUACCACCCUUUAAUGUUUGAUGUUCUAACGUUGACCCGUAAUCCGGGUUGCGGACAGUGUCUGGUGGGUAGU